AUAAAGUUUGAUUCUAGCUUAGAUUUUAAGUUGAAGAUCAUUUUACAUGUAAAUUUUUAUGUUAAUAUUAUCUUCUAAAUGAAGAUGUUAAAUAUCACAGUAUAUAAUAUUAUAUAUUAUUAAAGUUAGAUAUAGUUAUUCUUAUUAAAGCAGACAAAAAUUGUGCCAGCAGUCGCGGUUAUACAAUUUGUUUAAUUUAAAUAUUUAAAUUUCAGUUAUAAUUAGCUUGAUAUUAUAAAUUAUUAAUUUUGGUGAAAUAUAUUUCUGAUUUGAUUCUAUUAUUAUGUCUGAGAAACCUUAUUUUAAACUAGGAUUAGAUACCCUAUUAUUAAAGGUGUAAAAUAUAUAAUUAGAUAAUUAAUAGUUAUGAUCUUUAAAUUCAAAGAAUUUGGCGGUAGUUUAUCUUUUCAGAGGAACCUGUUCUGUAAUCGAUAAUCCACGAUAUAAUUAACUUUAAUUAUACUUGUAUAUCUCUGUCAGGAAUGUUCUAUAAGGACAAAUUUUCAUUAAUUUUAUUAAUUUAAUGUCAGGUCAAGGUGCAGUUUAUAUUAAAGUAGAAAUGGGUUACAUUAAAUUAUGUUUGGAUUAAUAAUUAAUUCAGUUAUUAUAAAAUAGGAUUUGAUAGUAAGUUUAUUAAAUUUAAUCAGUUGAAUGGAGCUCUAAACUAUGUACACAUCGCCCGUCACUCUCAUUCUAAAGUGAGAUAAGUCGUAACAAAGUAGUUGUACCGGAAGGUGUGGCUAGAAUGA
rnacentral:ncRNA from 1 species